rnacentral:rRNA from 1 species
GGGAAUAUUGGACAAUGGGCGCAAGCCUGAUCCAGCAAUGCCGCGUGAGUGAUGAAGGCCUUCGGGUUGUAAAGCUCUUUCGCACGCGACGAUAAUGACGGUAGCGUGAGAAGAAGCCCCGGCUAACUUCGUGCCAGCAGCCGCGGUAAUACGAAGGGGGCGAGCGUUGUUCGGAAUUACUGGGCGUAAAGGGCGCGUAGGCGGCCCUCCAAGUCAGGCGUGAAAGCCCCGGGCUCAACCUGGGAACGGCGCUUGAAACUGUGGGGCUCGAGUUCGGGAGAGGUGAGUGGAAUUCCCAGUGUAGAGGUGAAAUUCGUAGAUAUUGGGAAGAACACCGGUGGCGAAGGCGGCUCACUGGACCGACACUGACGCUGAGGCGCGAAAGCGUGGGGAGCAAACA